AUGAUCAACACCACAAGGACAGGGUUGAAGCCAUGUACAGCCACACUUGUCAUAGGAGCUAGACAAAGUGAAUAUCAAAUAUAAACAGUGAGAUCUUUGUUAUAUAAACAAGUGUAUAAUACCAGAUGAACCAGCCAUAACUCACUGUAUACCAGGUGUAUAAUACCAGAUGAGCCAGCCAUAACACACGGUUGUGCCAGGUGUAUAAUACCAGAUGAGCCAGCCAUAACUCACUGUUGUGCCAGGUGUAUAAUACCAGAUGAGCCAGCCAUAACUCACUGUUGUGCCAGGUGUAUAAUACCAGAUGAGCCAGCCAUAACUCACUGUUGUGCCAGGUGUAUAAUACCAGAUGAGCCAGCCAUAACUCACUGUUGUGCCAGGUGUAUAAUACCAGAUGAGCCAGCCAUAACUCACUGUUGUGCCAGGUGUAUAAUACCAGAUGAGCCAGCCAUAACUCACUGUUGUGCCAGGUGUAUAAUACCAGAUGAGCCAGCCAUAACUCACUGUUGUGCCAGGUGUAUAAUACCAGAUGAGCCAGCCAUAACUCACUGUUGUGCCAGGUGUAUAAUACCAGAUGAGCCAGCCAUAACUCACUGCUCAACCAGACCAAUAUGAGGACAGACAACAGUUAACAAUCCAACUGGCUGCUACCAACCAAUCACUCAAUCCACCAUAAACCUUCCAAGACUUCUCAUUCUUACUUUGUCAACUAUGUUUGCACAAAUCACUGCUCCCCCCCCCUCCCCCUUCUGGAAAGGCAUUGUGAUCCCAAAGCAGCCAAACAGGUCUAGGCAGCAUCCCAAACUGAACCCUAUUCCCUACUUAGAGCGCUACUUUUGAGCAGAGAUGUUAUGUCCGCAACGACACCCUCAUGCUCUGUUGACAGGAGGUUUACAAAUCCAUAGCCAGAGAACUUUGCAGGCGAUCGCACCCGCUGUAGGUAGUCACCAUACACACACACACACCAAGUAGAUUGUGUAAUGGAAAAGCAUGUGUUUAUUAUCUCCAACAGCUGUAAAAUAUAUAUUUGACUUGACAUCAUGUUACUGUGCUGCUCUGGUUAUUCUGCCUUCAGCUUGUGCCGACUUGAAGCUGCACAUCCUGGAAACAUAGGUAGUGUCCCAAAUGGCACCCUAUUCUUUAUGUAGUGCACUACUUUUACCAUGGUUCAUAGAGACUAUAUAGGGAAUAGGGUGCCAUUUUGGACACAACCACUAUGAGACCUCAAUUCAAAUAGAAACUUUGUGAUUAAAAUGCAAAAUCACAAUGCAAUCCUGCAGGAAGAGCAGAAAUACUUCUGAUCUGCUUAGUAAUAAUAAUGAUGUCCACAUAUACCUUAGUAGUGGCUAUGUGGUUCACACUAAUUAACACUAAUGCCCUUUUCAUACUAUUGUUCCAACUGUACUGUGUUGGCAUGGAUAUUUUCUUUUCACAUUAUCCUCUCCAACCCGGUUCCGGCAACUAUAGAGGAUAUACUAAAUAAACAGGCCAGCCCAGUACAGUUGGCUAGGCUCUGCUCAGCAAAGUAGUGUGGAA